rnacentral:lncRNA from 1 species
UAAAUUGGAACAAGAAUACUAAGAAUUCCAUAUUAUAUAAAGUCACGUGUUACAUUGCAAUUUUAAAGGACUUCAACAAUACAAUACACAUUGUAAGAUCUUCAGUUCAUCAAACAUUUAAUUAUUCAACAUUAUCAACCAUUUUGAUAAGCAUUCAAAAGCUCGGCACACAUCUCAAGCAUUGACACUUACACGUUGAUCUAACAUCUUUUGCAGUCUUUCACACGUUGAUCAAACAUCAACUUUGAAUGUGUAAUAAUGCACAGGCAGCUACUUCAAAUUACCUGCAUCGGCAUGUUCUUCUUCUCAGGGGUCUGCCGCAUUUGCAGUGCACAAUUUCACAGCGAACUGUCGGACUGCUCUGGCAUUUGCCUUCUGAGCAACAUGAAAAAAAACUGAAAAAAAAAUUGGAGUUCGAAACUGCCACCUUUUUAAUGUCGUGAACGAGAGCUACCAUGGCGAAAGGUUUGGAUUCGAUCUAUAGCUGCGCUGUGAGAUAUUGCCAUUUUUAAGGUAUUGUUUAACCUCGUGAUGGACCGUUCUCUGGAUAAGAAACUUCAUAAUCUUUCACUGACCUGAGGUUUUGGUGAUGAUUUUUCACGCUGACAUUUCCUAGACCUGAUUCCACGAUUAUCGCAUUACGAUUCUUGGCCAUGUGCAGGGGUAGAGAAAACUUAAGACUUUUAUGAGAGUAACCUGACAUUGGGCUGGUGCAGGGACGACACACACAAAGUGCCUGUCAAGAUCCCGAAUGUCGACGUACUUCUGCAUUUCGGUGCACCCAAUGUGUGCAUGCUUGUAGUUCACCAGCAAAUUCUCUAUGAUCUUCUUCACUUGUAAGUUGCGGUUUUUUACAAGUUCGCUUGCAACAAACAUAGCUUGCCGUAAUUUUCUCGAC